rnacentral:rRNA from 1 species
GACGAACGCUGGCGGCGUGCUUAACACAUGCAAGUCGAACGGAAAGGCCCUGCUUUUGUGGGGUGCUCGAGUGGCGAACGGGUGAGUAACACGUGAGUAACCUGCCCUUGACUUUGGGAUAACUUCAGGAAACUGGGGCUAAUACCGGAUAGGAGCUCCUGCUGCAUGGUGGGGGUCGGAAAGUUUCGGCGGUUGGGGAUGGACUCGCGGCUUAUCAGCUUGUUGGUGGGGUAGUGGCUUACCAAGGCUUUGACGGGUAGCCGGCCUGAGAGGGUGACCGGCCACAUUGGGACUGAGAUACGGCCCAGACUCCUACGGGAGGCAGCAGUGGGGAAUAUUGCACAAUGGGCGGAAGCCUGAUGCAGCAACGCCGCGUGCGGGAGGACGGCCUUCGGGUGGUAAACCGCUUUCGCCUGUGACGAAGCGUGAGUGACGGUAAUGGGGAAAGGAGCACCGGCUAACUACGU